CGCAGCGACCGUUACACCACAGGUGUGCAUUAACUUUCAAAACUUGGACGGUUUUGAUUAUGUUUUUCCACUUUUGUUUGUUUUCUCAACACAUUUUCAGGUUUUUAUCUUGGGUUGAUCACUUUCUGUAUACCUGUAACCGAGCGAUGCUGUGUUGCGGAUGCGGGCAUGAUAUAGAUAUGCCGCAUAAAAAAUCCAAACAUUCGAGAAGGCUGAAUCGCAUGAGAGACAGAUGCCGUUGGGGACCUGUAACUACUUCUCAGUUUGGAAUCCUGACUCCACUUCAAAGAUUGAAGGGAACUGGGUGCCUGUGUUUAAGGACAAGAUCCUGCACUUUGCCAACAGAAAGAAGUGGCUCUUCAUCUGCUUUCCAAUGUGGAAACUAUGACAGCAGACAAACAAGUUGACAUCGCCUUUCUGGUCCAUAUUGUGCUCUCAACAUUGAUACAUGAUUGGAAGGAAAAUGUUCGGACCAAGCUUCACAGGAACCAGGAAAGCCUUCAUUGACAUGCAGCCUUGAUGGCGGAGGGAGGCUUAAAAGGCACGCUGAAGCAUCAGAGGGGGAGAGAGUGUUCGUCAAGCACGACAGCCCGUACCCAGAGAGAGAUUGUGUUUGUUUAUGUUUAGAG